GUCGCACGACAGUAGCUCUUUUCUUCCUCUUUCUUCUCUCUUUUCUCCCCUGGCUCUCUGGGAUCCACAGUUCUCUCUUCCCUUCCUUUUAUUUUCUUCUCUUCUUCCUCUCUUUUUCCUUUCUUCUCCUUCCCCGCGCACUGCCUUCCUCUUUCCUCAUCUUUCUCUUCCCCUCCGAUUGUGAGAGUCUUUGAGAGCAACCCAACACAAGAGAGAGAACCAAUGUGCGGGAGGUGGGUUUGGCUGUGGGUGGUGCAGUUUUCGGAGCCGUGGUGGCUGGGCCACCGUCAAUGCAUGGAGGCGGCAUCUAGGGCAUGGAUUCCGACCCUGUUUCGGAAUGUGCAUUAUUGGAGACUUCUAUUGGCUCUCCAAUAUAGAGUUCAAGGAACUAGAACACAGGGGAAAUGUUAGAGUCAUGAGUCCUAUGCAGCCAAGAUGAUGUUUCUUUGGCUGCAGGUACUCUGGUCGUAGUUGAUGAUGUGGAAGAAGUGUACUUAGGAUAUUAUGACCAAAGCUCGCCGCGAUGAUCGUAAUUGUGGGACUAUGGGCGUCCUCUAUUUUAUGCCGUCACUUGUUAUUGUAUAUAGUCAUUUAUGUUAUGUAUUUAAUUUGAGGUUAGACUUAAAUAGAUAGGUGUAAUAUUGGCUCUUGAUUAUGAUUAAUUUAUGAUAGAUGUUUAAGAUGUGUUUUCCGCUAUUAGGUUUA